CGCUAAAAUGGAAGAAAGGUUACGUGAAGAGAAAUUCAAAGCUAUGAAACUACUCUCAUUGCUAUGUUACUGUUGGAAUAGAAUUUUUACUUUUCAUUCUGAAGAUAUUUGGACUACACCUUUCAAAAGCACAGCAUCAAAAGAAAGCAUCGUUCUCAUGAUAUGUUAAAAGUUCCACUGCAGGAAAUCUCUUCAAAUCUCUGUGCUGUUUUUGUAUCACUUUUUAUUAAAUACUUUUUGAAGGUAAUUAUGGAAACUACAUGUUUCUUCAAGUUAGAGCCUAAUAAUAGGAAAGAUGUACUCAAUGCAAUAACAUAGGGAAGAGUGCUUACUUUUUCAAUCUCACAACAUUUUUUAGGAUAUUGAAAAAUAUGAGAAAUGUCCCAAUGAUUCCAUUCUCAUGGAACAUAAAUGGUUCAGUAACAAGGAUGCCACAAUGGAAAGAAAUAAAUGGCACAAAACUUUGCACACAUUGUUUACUCUGCAUUGAUCUAAGUGUAUCUCUAACACAAAGGAAUAUUUUAUUGUAUAUUUUUUUAAAGCUUCUAUAUACAAUGUUUUUAAGGUGAUGCAAUAAUCUGUGGUUGCAAAUUAACCAAUGCUGCACAGAUAGACACAACAGAAUCAAUAUAUGGUUUCAUUGUUAA